rnacentral:rRNA from 1 species
UACGUAGGCAGCGAGCGUUGUUCGGAAUUACUGGGCGUAAAGAGUGUGUAGGCGGUGCUCUAAGUUCGGUGUGAAAUCUCCUGGCUCAACUGGGAGGGUGCGCCGGAAACUGGAGUGCUUGAGCGUGGGAGAGGAAAGCGGAAUUCCUGGUGUAGCGGUGAAAUGCGUAGAUAUCAGGAGGAACACCGGUGGCGAAGGCGGGUCUCUGGGCAUGUCCUGACGCUGAGGAGCGAAAGUGUGGGGAGCGAACAGG